rnacentral:lncRNA from 1 species
ACUUGAAUUGUCAAGGGGAAAGAUCCAUCAAUGGCUUUACUACAAUGGCUGAAAGAAUGCUCCAAACCUACCUUGUUCGUUGUAACUAUUUUUCUAGUAGUAGUGGUCAAGUUUCUCAUGAAAGAGAAGCUGAGAAAGAGGAAGCUCAAUCUCCCACCAAGCCCUGCAAAAUUGCCAAUCAUUGGUAACCUUCACCAGCUUGGUAAUAUGCCUCACAUCUCUCUCCGAGGGCUUGCCAAGAAGUACGGUCCCAUCAUUUUCUUACAGCUUGGGGAGAUCCCAACUGUAGUGAUUUCAUCAGCUGGAUUGGCAAAAGAUGUCCUGAAAACUCAUGAUCUUGUACUCUCCAGCCGUCCGCAGCUCUUUUCUGCCAAACACUUGUUCUAUGGUUGCACUGAUAUUGUCUUUUCUCCUUAUGGUGCUUACUGGAGGAAUAUAAGGAAAGUUUGCAUACUUGAGCUCCUCAGUGCCAAGCGUGUCCAUUGGUACAGCUUUGUUAGAGAAGAAGAAGUUGCUCGCUUGAUUCGUCGGAUUGCGGAAUCUUCUCCUGGCAUCACCAAUCUAAGCUCGAUGAUUGCACUAUAUGCCAAUGAUGUUCUUUGUCGGGUUGCGCUGGGAAGGGAUUUCUCUGGAGGAGGAGAGUAUGAUCGGCACGGGUUCCAAAAGAUGCUUGACGAUUAUCAAGCACUGCUUGGAGGAUUCAGUCUUGGAGACUAUUUUCCUUCGAUGGAGUUUGUGCACAGUCUAACUGGAAUGAAAUCGAAGCUCCAGUACACCUUCAGACGCUUUGAUCAGUUCUUCGAUGAGGUGAUAGCUGAGCACCGCAGUUCUAAGGGAAAACAAGAGGAGAAGAAGGACCUUGUUGACGUUCUACUUGAUAUUCAGAAGGAUGGAUCUUCUGAAAUUCCUCUCACCAUGGACAACAUUAAAGCUGUCAUCUUGGUCAGUGAAGAUUUUAUUGGUCUAGUUAUACCUUCAAGGCUUCAACUUCAGUGUUCCAAGCAUCAAAUUACUUGUAGCUGAGUUCAUUUGCACAUACUUUACAGCUAAAGGGUAUAAUUAUUGUUCUAUUGUUGCAGGACAUGUUUGCUGCAGGAACAGAUACCACCUUCAUAACCCUUGAUUGGGCAAUGACAGAGCUUAUCAUGAAUCCUCAUGUCAUGGAGAAAGCACAAGCUGAAGUACGAAGUGUUGUCGGAGACAGAAGAGUGGUGCAAGAGAGUGAUCUGCCCCGGCUGAACUACAUGAAAGCUGUUAUCAAAGAGAUCUUCCGGUUACAUCCUGCCGCUCCAGUUUUGGUCCCAAGAGAAGCUUUAGAAGAUGUUGUAAUUGAUGGCUACAACAUUCCAGCUAAAACUCGGAUUUAUGUCAAUGUCUGGGGAAUGGGGAGGGAUCCAGAACUGUGGGAAAAUCCUGAAACUUUCGAACCAGAAAGAUUUAUGGGCAGCGGUAUAGAUUUCAAGGGGCAAGAUUUUGAGCUGAUACCAUUUGGAGCAGGUAGAAGAAGCUGCCCAGCCAUCACAUUUGGAGUCGCAACCGUUGAAAUUGCUUUGGCUCAACUCCUCCACAGCUUUGAUUGGAAGCUUCCUCCUGGUCUCGAAGCAAAGGAUAUAGACAAUACAGAAGCUUUUGGCAUCUCAAUGCACAGGACAGUUCCCCUGCACGUCAUUGCAAAACCACACUUUGAUUGACGCAAGAAGUGUCAGGAUUUAAUUAGUAUGUCAACUAGAAUCUGUAAUUUUCUUUCCGAAUAAAAGUUACUACUUGUGGUUUGCUUGUAAAAAGAAAGCAGAACUUGGACGCGAGUUAACUCCAGCCUUAGUCCUUGCUGCUGGAACUUGGACACUAGAAUCAGUUAUAAGUUCUCUUCCACUGCAAUACUUGGAAGAAAUCCAUGUAAGACUAUUCCACAUACCCAACUUCCCUUAGUGAAAAAAUCUUUACUUUUCCUUCCCUAAUAUACACAUGUCAUAAUAGUCACAUUUAUCAAACUUAAAAUCUUAAAGCACAUCACUUGAACUUGGAAGAUAUAUGUCCACAAUUAAAGCAAUAUGAUCAUAAACUUACCCGAUACAUGUUCAAUGAAUACACUUCGAGAAAAUAAAAAUUGAGUCCAAGAUUAAACUACGUUAACAUAAACAACGAUAAAUAAGAUGGCUUAAAUAAUACCAAGAGCAUCCUAUUUUUUCUUAGUUGUAGCCAUGUCUCUUAUUUACUUCAAUUUAAAGUUUUUAUCAACAGCUUGUAUUUGUACCAUGAUUUCUAAUUUAUAUGGAGAAUGAGAGACUGAUUCUGCUGAUGAAACUGAAAUUCAAUGUUACGAGUCCUUUAUCACUUUUUUUGGUUCUCGAUAUAGCCAGUUUUAUGAGAAAUCGUUGAAAGUUAAGGCUAACAAGGCUGUGUUUCCAAUGCCUGCAAAUGAGGAUAUGUUAUUUACUCAUGCUAAUUAAUAUUAGUUUAGCAAGGAGGGAGCUUGGUUAUGAAGCCCAAUACUAGUCUGCAAUCAGGACUAAAGAAAAUAAAAUCUCUUGUAGCAUUAACUUGUGAGUUAUAAAUUGUAAUUAGUAGUAAACCAUUUUUAUUUAAAAGUUUUAGCUAGGCAUGCCUAAUUUGAAUACAAUUCAUUAUCAAUUUGUCGUCGCUGCUGCUUUUAUUGCUGCUCACAGUACAAAAGAACUGCUGGAGAGAAACGAUGCUGCCGCUACCGCUGAGAUGGAGCUACUGGCGUGAUUGUCGUCCAUGGUUGUUUCUACUGCGGAGAUGCAGCUGUUGAUGGAUGUUGUUGCUCUCGGUCUAGAGUUGGUGUAGAGGAGGUUCUCAGCUGGAAAACAAAACUGCAUAUGCCUGGAGAGAAACCCCUGUUGUUUGCUCACGGUGGGAUUGGAGGUUGCUAGUCUAAGAGGUUGUGAGAGAUGACGCUCACGGUGGCAGUGCUGGCAGCUUCUGGGGAGAGAUCGCUGCUGGGGGGAGCUGACUAACGGUUCUGCUGUGACCGGCUGUUCGUUGGUUUUUAAAGCUGACGGUUGAUUAUGGCGGAUGAUUGAUGGCAGUAGCUGUGUAAGGGAGGAGCUGGAGGAUGGUUCCUGGUUAUGGGUUCAUUUUUUUUUUUUUUUUGUAAAGGGCAGUGUUAAUAGAUAAUGGGAAUGAAGAAGACAGAAUGAGUUUGAUUUUUUGUUGCUGGUUCCACUGUAAGCAGGAGACAAUGAUUGAGAGAGGUUGUGGUAGUACCUGGUUUUAUUAAUGGGAAUGGACGACUAGGAGGUAGAUGACGACGACGACUGUCUCUAGGUUUGUUUCAAGCCGGAAAGAUUAAGGAGAAAGGUUGCUGUCGUCUUGGUUAGGUGAUAGUAUUGUUGGCAAUGUUCCUCACACUUCUCCUGUAGCUUGAGUUAGGAUUUUGUGUGAAUUUUAUAUAUAUAUAUAUAUAUAUAUAUGAAAUGAAAAUGUUAUAGGCUCAUGGGUUGAUGGGAUCUUAAUCUUGAUGUUAAAAAAUAAAUCUCAGUUAUUCAUUAAAGUUUUGGACAAAAAAUGCUUCUUUUUUUUUUUCGCCAGCAGAGCAAUGUUUAGUAGUGUUCUUAAAAGAGAAUCUACAAAUGUUUUAAAUGCAAUAAAAACUGGAAUUUUGACUUAAAGUAAAGUUUGGUCAAAGGAUAAGAGAGAAAUUAGAGCUAAAAGGUGGGUAUGUAGACAUUUUUUUUUCUUUUGUUUAAGGGGAAGAAAACAAUGGAUAGUAAAAUUAUGGCCAUUCUCAAUUUGAUCCUUAAAUCUUUGAUAUUUUGCAAUAGAGCCCCCAAUCAAUAUUAAUCUUUUGUACUCCUUGCAAUUUCACUUUUAGUUUUCUUCAAUUAAACUCUCAAAUUUCAGAGUUUUUUACAAAGUGAUUCUUGGUUUUGAAUUCUUCAAUGUGGUCCUUAAUUGAAUUUUAUAUUUCAAAUUUCUUUCAAUUAUGCUCCUGAUUGAACCAAUUUAGCAUUUUAAAGUUUUAAUUGUGUAUCUAAUCUUUCAAUCUUUGCGAAUUGAUCUGAAUUAAGCCUUCAAAAUUGAUUUUUUUAAUUGAGAUUGUGAUUGAAUCCACAAAAUCGAUUAAAAUUUUAAUUAAGUCCUUGAACUUAAUUAAUUCUUCAAAUUUUUUUCCACUUGACUUUCAAACUUAAUUUUUUUUUAAUUAAGUCCUUAAAAAAAUCAAAUAAACCUAUUAAAAGUUUAAUUAAGCUCUUAUACUUAAUUAAUUAUUUCAAUUUUGGUCAAGUUUGGAUUUCAACCUUAAUUUUCUUCCUUUUUUCAUCCCAUUUUGUCAAAACAUCAUAAUUUGGCUAUUCUUAUGAUAUUUUGGUCUUUUGUAGCUCAAAGCCUUAUCUCCUCGUGUCUCGAAAAUAUUUCUAGAUUUUUUAUUUUUGAUUUUUUUGGAUUUUUUAAUAAAAAAGAAAAAUAUACACUUUUUAUAAAAUAAAUAGGUGGGGUUUGGAACUAGGUUAUGACAAAGAAAAAGGAAAAAUGGCUUCAAAAUAGGAUGACCCAUUAAAAAUAAUGAGAGUGAUUAAGUCUAGCACAUAACAUUUACAAGACAUAAGGGGCAAAAAAAAAAUUCCUCCCUCAUGUCUAGCACUCUAAUCAUUUGAAAAUGUACUUCAAGUGAAACACUAGGUUUCUUCUUUGUUAUAAUGAUUCAAUCUCUAUUUGGAUUGCAUAUUAUUGUUUUGUGAUAAUGAAUUUAUUUCGUGUCUCCAAUGAUUAAUCCUUUAUGAUUUUCUUUGUAUCUCUAUGAUUACUAUAUUGAUUAUGCAUGAUUGAUUUUUAAGUGUCUUCGUAUUUAUGUCUCCAUUUUAUUUUCCAAAUCUCUGGUUAAGAAAAAUCUUUAGAAAACAAAAUAAUCUUUUAUUCCAAAAAAGAUUGUGAUAUGGAUAUAAACAAUAAACAAACAUAAAGUUGAUACAACAUAAUAUAGAAUACAAACAUAAGCAAUAAAAGCUAAUUACAACCUGCAUCGCUAGGAAUAUAUUCUCUAUGUGAGGCAACCUCAACAUAGAGAUUAUGAAGGCCACGAAUGGAGUUAAGCUUAAGGUUGUAAUACCAUAUCCUAGCAAAUUCAUGAAAAAAAAAAGGAAAAAUUUUGCAUGUUGCAUCACUCUUUAGAGUUACAAUUUUGAGAAUGCUUUUAACAUUUUAUAUGUGAUUUUUAUGAUCUAUAAGAUCAUUAUAGUUAUCUAAGCUAGCUUUUCUGGCCAUAUAGUCUUUAGAGAGAUGAGUGUAUAAUACUAUUUAAUAAAGUAUAAAGUCUCCCUUUUGGUAGGAAUGGUGUUCAUUCUUACUCUUAAGAGUUAGUGCAAUAUUGCGUCUAUGUAUUUUAUAAUGAAGAGUAUGUGAGUGAGACUCAGAAAAAAAUUGAUACGACAGUUGUAUCAACUUUACUAAUUACAAACAAACACAAGAAAGUUUGAAAAAUGAUUUCCCGAAAACCACUUUCUGGAAAACAAACACAGCUAAAAAGAAAAACACUUUCCUGAAAACCAAGCUAAAUUGUUCUUUAACUGAAAAGUGUUUUCCGUUGACCGAAAAGUUUUUUUCGUUGACCAACUUUUCUAAUGGCAAACAAACACAGGAAAGUUUGGAAAAUGAUUUCCCAAAAACUACUUUUCAAGAAACAAACAUGGCCUUAAUGUUUUUUUAAGAAAAAAAGAGUCAGUUGACAUGUUGCAUGACUUUGCUUAUAUUUCAGCCACCAUAAUAGUUGGAAAAUUAAAGGCUGAAUGUUUUUUUAUCUAAAAAUCUAUUUUUCAAAUCAUUUUUUAUUCAAAAGAACUAGAAAACACUUCACACACCUUCAUAAAUCCAUUCAUAACCUAAAAAAAUCUAGAAAUUUGUCCUAAAACCUGAAAUCAAAAUUUUUUCCAAACUCAUAUGUUUUUUAAGCACUUUUAAGGGAAAAAAAAAUACCUAAGUUGAACUUCUCCUCUUAUUAAAUGAAAUCAUGUAAUACAAAUAUCGAUUGUAUUUGGUGACUGAGUCAUUGGCAAUGAACAUUUCUCUUUUUAUAGUAGAAAUUUAGUGAUUUCUCUCUAGUGAUCUUUCUCUCUUCUCUCUUAAACAAGGAAAAAAACUAAAUGAAUAAUUUUUAUAUCAAAAUUGAAUUGAAAAAAUAUUAAAGGAUCGAAUAGAUACAAUAUAAAAAGUUUGAUGAUUAAAGUAGAUUUUUUUUAGAAUUUUGAAAUUGUCUCGUAGGCCCUUCAAUUCCAAUAUAGCAUAGCAAAUCAUAUGGUGUCUAAUUUGAGCACUUUCAACGAGAAAAAGUAUAGCUCUAACUCAAUUAUAAGAUGUAUAAUUUAAUUUGUUAGGUUUUAGAUUUAUUUUUUAGAGGUUAUUAAUUCGAGUUUCACAAACCUUAGAAGAACUAGAGGCUUACAUGGUCGUUAACUUCAGGAUUCGUGGGAUUAGUCGAGAUAUAUACAAACUGGUCCUGACUCCUAUUUUAAUAAUAAUAAUAAUAAUAAUAAUAAUAAUAUAUAGCUGAGCCAGCUCUCUGUUCAAUUUGGGAAAUAUAAAGUAUUAGUUUUAUUUGUUUGCUGCAGAUAAAUUUUUAGGAGAUGAUUUUAUCAAAUGCCUGGAGAAAAGAGAAACGAUGAAGCAAAAAAGUUUAUUUAUUUAUUAUUAUUAUUGAAAGAGUUUAAUGGCAACUAAUAUCCCAGGAAAAUAGGAUUAUCCAAGAUGAAGCGAAUUUCAUGGAUGGUAUAUAGGGUUUGCAAAUUAAACAAAAGGAUAAAGAAAAGUUUUCUUGCAGGAAUGGAGAAAGAACAUCCGAUUUUGUGCUCUGAAAAGCCACAAGAUAAUGUUAUUCCAUACCAAUUCCCAUCUAAAAGUCCUGGGAGAAAAAAGAGAAAUUGCAAUAGCUGCCAGCUUGUAUUCCUUCAUGAUAAUUGAAACGUAAAAAAUAUCCAAUGCUUUCAUAAAAACAUGACCUCCACUGUGCUGUGUUUCAGGCAAGAAUCCUUUAAUGGAGAACCCGCACUGAGAUUUGAUUACUGAGACAGAAGCCUCGAUUCUUUUUAAUUAAGGCAUUCAUCGCCUCAGUCUGUAGAAAAUAUUGGUGUGAGAAACCACUAGUGGUGGCUCUGAUACCAAUGGUUGGGGAUUCUGCUUUCCCUGCGGAACGGUGGUAUUCAUGAUCAUUGCUCAAAGGAGGCUAAACACACUAGCACAUAAUAUUUAACGUGGUUCGGCAAAUUGCCUACAUCCACGGGAAAGAUAGAUAUUAUUAGAGAUAGAGAAAGAAUACAACACAUGGAGGAGGAUCACAUCCACUCAACUCCCAUCUCUCAUUGCUACAUAGGGCAGCAGCUGCAUAAGGCUUCUCUUUCUUUCUCUCUUCUUCUCUCUUUUGUAGCUCUUCUACAAGACUCUCUCUCUCAUUUUGUGCUGCACUCUUGGUGUCUAUUUAUAGGCUUUAAUGACAGCUCCUCUUACUUCUUUGUCAUCAAUGGUGGCUGCCAAACUUACCAAACUUUGACAUUAGACAAUGGUUGUUGGCUGCCACCAACAACCCACCAUUAUAGCCUCCUUCUUUGACAAUGUCAAGGGGCUGCAAAUGUUGUACCAGCAGCCAUCUUUGACUCUCAUAUGGCAGCCAUCUUCUUUGACAAUGACAACAUAAUUGGCAAUAUUCCAACAAUCACCCCCUUUGCCAUUUAUAUGGGCAAUUGUCAUCUUGCUUCUUUAGCACACGCUUUACUGGAGCGUUCUGAACUGGGCUCCUUUCAUGGCCCUCACACCUUCUCUAAGGUGUCUCUGCUUGUUGUCAUACGACGGUCUAAACUGGGGCUCCUAUCGUGGCGCGUGGGCAACCUCCUCUCCGACGCGUGUUGGCACGUGCGGGCAUGUCGCACGUCAGAAUUUUACGUCGUUUUCACUAGUGGCUUCAUCUCUUCCUCCUCUACACAAUGGUAUGGUCAAAACAUCAUUUUGACAACUUUCAUUUUUGAGCAAAAAUCAAACACCACUUCAAACCAUAAGCUCUGAUACCAUUUGUUGGUGUGAGAAACCACUGGUGGUGGCUCUGAUACCAAUUGUUGGGGAUUCUGCUUCCCCUGCGGAAUGGUGGUGUUCAUGAUCAUUGCUCAAAGGAGGCUAAGCACACCAGCACAUAAUAUUUAACGUGGUUCGGCAAAUUGCCUACAUCCACGAGAAAGAUAGAUAUUAUUAGAGAUAGAGAAAGAAUACAACACAUGGAGGAGGAUCACAUCCACUCAACUCCUAUCUCUCAUUGCUACAUAGGGCAGCAGCUGCAUAAGGCAGCAGGGCUGCUGGUGGCAGCCCUUCUCUUUCCUUCUCUCUUUUGUAGCUCUUCUACAAGACUCUCUCUCUCAUUUUGUGCUGCACUCUUGGUGUCUAUUUAUAGGCUUCAAUGACAGCUCCUCUUACUUCUUUGUCAUCAAUGGUGGCUGCCAAACUUACCAAACUUUGACAUUAGACAAUGGUUGUUGGCUGCCACCAACAACCCACCAUUAUAGCCUCCUUCUUUGACAAUGUCAAGGGGCUGCAAAUGUUGUACCAGCAGCCAUCUUUGACUCUCAUAUGGCAGCCAUCUUCUUUGACAAUGGCAACAUAAUUGACAAUAUUCCAACAGAAAAGAGUACGGUAGCCAUUGUAAUGGGAUCUCUUUUUUCUUCAGAAGUUGUUUUCCUUUAGAAGUAGUGGGAUCUGUUUUUUCUGCAGAAGUGGUGGGAUUCUUCCUUCGGCAGACUUAACGGGAUCUGGAUACCUGCAAUAAUAUUUCAAGCGAUGAACUUAAGAAAUUAUAGCAAUUCUAUAACAGUUUAACUUGAAAGCAAACUACUACAGUAAGUUUACAAACGUCCUGAUUGAGGAUGGAACAGAUUCACAGCCAGACAGGAAGCGCUCUAUAUCUUCGUUAAGUGCAUAUUUGGAGGGAAUCCUUCCAGCAAAACCUGAACCAAAGGCGGAUCUAGGUGCAUCAGCUUAAAAAUGCUAUGAAGUCUCAUAAAACUUGAGCCAUGGAAAUAAUUGGAUUUGUUAAAGAAAAAAAAAAUGCAAGACAGCUAUUAAUACACAAACCCCCUCGUGAAAAAUUGCAGAGCAUUGUUGCUCUACCUGGCUAGCUAUUCUAGCAAAAUGAACAGUAUAGGGAGUACUGUAGUGCUCCUCAAUUGGCUUUUGAAGAAGGCGCAAGAGGGAAAAGGUCGAGAGAAAAGAAAAAAUUAUACAUGGCAUUAGGGCUGUCUUUUGUUCUUGGCUUCAAUUUUUCUAGCAAUCAACAACAGUUCAACUAUAGCGAUGUUGUACGAGAGGUCAUCUGGAUCGGCGGUGCUAGGGGAGUUUAACGCGACGGCGACAAACGUUUGCUCAUUUACUCUUGUCUCUGGGUAAAUAUUUUUAGAACUGUUUGGGCUUCGUAAAGAGAGAUUGCUAUGGAUAAGAAAGUUCGACUAUGGUGUGAGCUUGGUGAGAGAGAGACAAGGUUUCUGAGAUUAAUUCUUUGUCAGUGUAUUCUAUGCCUGUCUGUUUCUGUUGCUAUAUAUCUUGCUAGCAUACUCACCUGUGAUUCUUGUGGAAGUUGAAAGUUUCAGUUUUUGGGAUUUCAUUUCUCACAUCAGGUAUUGAACUUGAACUUUCUGGGUUUUCAGUAUCUGAUUGAUUGAUUUAUCAUCAUGUUGACAAGUGAGAAAGAAAGUGCUGAAAAUGUACAGUGGAUGGAUGUUCUUCAGUUUGGCCUGUCAAAGCUCAAGACUUUCACCCUUACGAAGUUGUUGAUCGUUUCUUGUAGGUUUGGAGAUUGGGUUUUUCAAGUAUAUACAGUAACUGAUAGUAUUUCUGAAGGAUAAGAUAGACUGAGAUUUAUGUGAAAUUCAUGUUUAAUCACUUGGUGUUGAUUAGUCAAUUGGUAAGUUGGUGCUGUGUUCUUAGGAAAUUAAUUCCUAUUAAUCAAACCACUCAUAUGGGUACGAUUUUGUUUUUGUUUUAGAUUUUGUAAUUAAUUUUUUCAUUUAAAUAUAAAUAAUUUAUUUGAAUUAAAAAAGAUUUUAUAUUUUAAAAUGGUUUUUGAAAAAAUUAAUAUUUUUUAAAUUAAUAUAUUUUAAUAUUUUUAAAUCAUUUUGAUACGCUGAUAUUAUAAAUAAUUUUUUAAUAAUAAAAAAUAUAUUAUCUUUAUAUUUUUCAGUAUGAAAAAUAUUUUAAAAAAUAUCUAUAACAAAACUGCUAUCAAUUAUUUUCCCAUACUUUAAUACAUGAUCAAUGAUCAAUGCUUGUCAAUUUAUCAUUAUCCUUCUUUUCUUUGCUGGCAUCCAGAUAUAUAUGCUCUUUUUCUUUUUAUUUUUUUUGUGUCCUUGGUGGCCAAUUUAGAGAACACUAGAAUAAUGAAUUUAUGUCAUUUUGCCAUGCAUGCUUUUGCUGGUAAAACCUCUCAGUUCCCGUCAAAGAACGAGCCAAAUCCUUCUUGCACCAUAAUCUAAUGCCAUCAAUCAUAGUGGGGUUAUAAAGAUUUCUCGUGGUUGAUCUAGAAACCAAGGUAAGAUUUUUGGGCUUGAGAUGUGUGAUCACACUGUUUUUUUGUUGUAUUUGGAAGUGUGAUAACGGUUGCUUUUUAAAAUAUUUUUUACUUGAAAAUUUAUUAAAAUAAUUUUUUUUUUAUUUUUAAACAAUUAUUUUUAACACUAGUACAUCAAAAUAAUUUAAAAAUAUCAAAAAACUAUUAAUUUCAAGUAAAAAGAUACAAAAAUUUUAAUUUUUUUUAAAACCCCUUUCAAACACAAGGAUAAACAUGCCGUUGUGUUAAAUGGGCAAUGCUGUAUGUUUCCUAAUUUCAGUGAUUUCUGCUCUUUUUUUCAAUUUGGCUGUUAUAAUAUUACAAUUGCUCUAGAGUUAAAUAAUGCAUCAACAGGGGCGAUCAAAAAUUGCUUUUUUACAGUCUCACAAAUCUUAGACUUAUAAUUAUUAUUAAUUUAAAAUUUAUGAAAUUAAUCGAGAUAUCUACAAAUUGGUUCAGAUAUCUACAUUAAUCUAAUAAAAAAAAAUUGCUUUUUGAGUAUGCUUCAGCAGAUAUGUUUAUCUGCUCAAAGUUUUAAAAGGCAAUGUAUUAUGUUUUGCAAAAAGGAUUAUUGGUGACAGAAGUAGAAACCCAUUAAUUACUUGGGUGGUUGUUCUCAAUGUGCAGUGAUAAAUUGGAAAGACCUUACAUUUAAAGGUCCUUUGCAAUUUUACUAUUUAACGUCAAACAAUUUUACCACUUAAUACCAAACGGUAUAAUUUGUACCCAAUCAAAAUUCUUCUAUAAAUUGUUUUAUAUAUAUAUAUAUAUAAUUUACACUUCCAAGUAUAUUUUCAUAACUUCAAUUUCUUUCUCGAUCACAAUUUCUUAAAAUUUUUCAAUGAAAUCUCAAAGAUGAUGGAUAUUUUAUUUAUCUCAUGUAUUAAGGGUCGACCCGAAUACAUAAUUUUUUAUUUAUUUAUUUAUUUAUUUUUAUGAUCCUAGAUAUCCGGGCCAGCUUACGCGCACCACAACUAAUCUCAGGGCCUACUGAACAUCCUGCAAGCCCAGUAGGCAGGUAAGACACCGCGGGGGUGACAGGCUGGUACUCUUGAGGAUCGAACCCAGGACAUUCGCAAAGACAAGCCUUGCAGUUGACCAAUGAGCUAGAUCCUCAAGUGUCCCGAAUACAUAAUUAAUUUACACAAUAAUGUUAUGAUCUAUCUGUACAAUACUCCAAUUAAUUUGUUGUGCUAUCUCAAGAAAUGUGAAAAUCAACCUGUGGCCGAAAAGAUCCAUGUGAAAAUCAAUCUUUGACUAAAAAGAUUAAGCAAUCAAGCAGCUUUAAGGAUGAAGAAGAUAUUGGAGUAUUGGACAUCGAAAUAAAAAAAACAAAAGGCUUAUUGGAAAAGAAUUCACAAUAACCAUAACAACAACAAGAAGUUUGUGUUUAAGCGUGCAUCAAGUUAUCUAUUGUAUCGUUGACCAUUCAAUUAGUGGUAAAUAAGUUUUGUUCAUAUUAUUACUUCCUAAUAAAAAAUAGAAACUAAAGUGGUUUCACCUACAUAUACAAGAGACAAGAUAUUGUUUAUAUAAAAUUUAUAUAUAUACAUAUACACACACAUAUAAAUUCAUUUAAUUUAUUAUAAUUUCUUUUAAGUAAUACAUUCUAAUUUGCUUUAAUAUUAGGUUAAUGAAGCGAAGAUUAUAUAUAAAGAAAUUCAAGAUGAACCAUUCUUAUUUCAACUUUGCCGAAGAAAUUCAAGAACUAAACUAAAUCAAUUAUUGAAAAUUCAAAGAAAAAGUCCAAAAAUGUUAUAAAUGCAACUCCUGCAACUUACUCUCCUCUUACUCAAAGUCCAAUCAGCUUAGAAUAAGAAUAUGAUGUUAUACUUGGUGACUGGAGAGACCGAUUUCAAUUAUAAAACUCAUUUUAAUUAAUAAAAAAAAAAUCAAAACUCCAAAUUGAUUUUUUUAAAAAAAAUCAAUUAUAUUUCAAGGUUCAAUCUAUUUUUUUCUAACAAUUUCAAGAUUAGGAAUCACCAUCAAUAAGAGAAUGUAAUCAUUUAAAAAAAAACAUAGAGAAGUGGCAAUGCAACUCUCCUUGACGCCAUUGUUGAAGCGUUCCAAGAAUAUUUCUCCAUGAGAUUUGUCCAACAUGGCCUUUCCUGAAAGCUUUAUAUUUAUUUUAUUAUAUACUAAGUCAAUGAGAUUUUGAUUAAGUGAGAAAUAUUUGUCCAAGAGAUUAUGAUGAAAGCUUUAUAUUAUUUUAUUAUAUAAUUAGUCAAUGAGAUAUUGAUUAAUGUUCAGUGUUUUGGAAGUUAUUAUUCUCCACCGCAUAAUAUUACUAGAGACGGGGAAAAAACCAAGAAGAAAGGUGGUAAAACUUUCCAAAGAGAUGUGAUGCAUUUGCCUUUGCUUUUGUAAUUUUAUUGCGACACCAAGAUGCCAUUUUCCUCAGAAUAUCUCCUUAAAAUGAUGGCAACAAGCCUCACAUGAGAGAAAUGCAAGAUUUCCAGAGGCUCUGAAUCGCCAUUCGUUCGCUGAUUUUAACACUGACGUGCACGUAUUGGAACACGAAGCUAUCAGACAAAUUUCUGCCUUCAAUUUCCAUCACCAUAUAGACUUUUUGAAGCUGUCAAUGAGUGCAUAUUACGUUUUAGUCUGGAUUAUAUAUAUAUAUGUGGAUGUUCUGUAAACUUAUAUUUGUCUGGACUAAUUUUAUAAAUUUUAAAAUUAAUAAUUAUAUAAAUUUUUAGUAAUUUUGUAAUUUAUUGUUACAUAAUCAGAGGUAAGAAUCUAAUGCGCAUAAAAUUCUAUCUCACCGUAAGACACCCCAUAAAAACUGAAGAGGCUGUUUAUAUAUAUAUAUAGAAACUCAAUUAAUUUGAAAAAUCUUUACACUGAAGAGGUGUCAAUAGCCAUACACCAUCGUCUGGCAUUACGUUAAAAUGGGGUUAGGAAAAAUUUAAUUAUUUUUUAUUUAAAAUUAUUAUUUUUUAUAUUUUCAGAUCGUUUUAAUAUAUUGAUUUUAAAAAUUAUUUUUUUAAAAUAAAAAAUAUUAUUUUAAUACAUUCAAAAAAAAUAUUUUAAAAAAUAACCGCAACAACACUUUUAAAUAUCACUUUAGUGAAAUUACAUGUUUUGUCCCUUAUAAGUGUAAUGGAGAUUAUUCUAAAUAAAUAAAGAAUAAUAAUAAUAAUAAUAAUAAUAAUAAUAAAGAAUUUUAAAGGUUCACAUGGAUCAUUUAAUUUAUUAUAAGAUUCAAUGGAUUCAAAUUCAGAUUAUGAUCUAGCGAAUAAAAAAAUAAUUAAUUUUCUGUUGUUGAUAUUCAGCAUUGAUAAAAAAAAUGUGUAAAGGGAGCAACGAGCACAACUGGACAAGAAUAGCCAAGCCCAAGUUGAUGAUUACUUCAUAUGGAAAAGGCUAAAGACAACUGCAAAAUGAUCUGAAUCAGUGUAGCUAAGAAGGUUACAAAAAAACUUAAAUCAUGAUGAUAUUUAACAUAUGCUUAGGCUUGAUGUGAUGACAAUCAAGGUUGUCAAAAAUGCUUUUUUGACAUGACACAAAAUAUACAAUAUAUACUUGGAUUGUAAACUCGAUUCGUAAAAUCGCAAGAAAAAUAUUUUAACUAAUUAUAUAUUAACAAUUUCAGUUAAGUAGUAAAUAAUAAUAUAACAUAAUUAAAAUAAAAGUGAAAUAAACAAUACAAAUAUCCAAAUACCUUGAAAUAUAUAAUUCAAAUAAAUUUUCAUAUAUGGUUUAAAUAACUUAAAAAUAUAAAAAGAAAAAAAAUAAGAUUGAACAACUAUGUUUUAUUGAUAAAGUUUCAGAACAUUUUCUAGAGGAUUGAUCCUGAAACACACUGUAGGCAACUAGUGAGAUGAUACAACAUUUUAAGGUAUAUCACCAACUUCAAAAAAAAAUUAACAGAGACCAAUACAGUGAACCUAUGAUAAUGAGAAUGAAAAUGUACAAAAUAACAUCAAUUUAAUCUCACGCCACCUCACCUUUCACCUUUUUUAUGUUAGUAACAAGUCCUAGAAAUAAUGUCCAAAUAUCCCACUAAGCAAGACAUGUAUUUCAAGUUCUCUCUGAGUCUUUGUUGUCUCUCUUUAAAGUUAACAAAUGGUUAGUCUAAAACACAAUAUUUCUCUCUAUAUAAGUAUUCCUAUCUCUUAUUUUACUCCUUUGAUUCAUUACCAUCUACCUGUCUUCCCAUGGUUUCAAUUAGGGGUGUUCAAAAAAACCAAAUAACCAAAAAAACCAAGAAAACCGAUGAUAAAUUAACCGAGAAAACCAAACCGAGAUGUUAAACCGAUUACUAAAACCAGAAAUCUUUCCAGUUCGGUUUCAGUUUUACCACCAAAACCGAUGAACCGAACCGGUCACCCAUAAAAUACAUUUAAAAACAACCUAGUAUAAAUAGCACAGUAAACCUAAACCUAAAUCACAUUACACUUUACUUCUAAGCCGCCGCCCACACCAGACCAAAAUCUUCUCUCCUUCCUACUUUCCCUUUCAAUUUUCUUCAUCUCUGCCUCUUGCCCCCUGUAUAUUUCUCUUCUCUAGCCGAUCAAUAAGUAAAUAACCCUCAUCUCUGCAUCGAUCUACUCAUCUAGUAUACUCGAAGUCGAAAAAAAACUCGAACAAAACCCCUCGGCGUCUCUCUUCACUUGCAGCAGAAAGAGUCAAAGAGGUAAAGUUUAAUGUUUAUCCAUGUAUUAAUUCUAGGCUUCGUAUGCUUGUAAGUUGUAUUGUAACAUUUGUUCCAUUCGAGAUCUCUGACCUCUACUUCUUCUUUUUCUAUCCUUUUGCAGCUAGGGUUUUUACAUAUUUCUUCAGGUUUGCCCCUCUUUCCCCGACCCUUUUCUUCUUUCUGUUGAUUUUUGUUGAAUCUGUUGAUAUUGAGUUCUUGAUUGCUUUGUUAAGUGUUGUUAACUUUAAUAUGUAUCGGUUUAUUUGGAUUGUUUUGAAUCUGUUGAUAUUUUGGUUUGUUAAGCCUUCUAGCCACGAUCAAUCUCAGUACUGCAUAACAAGAGUGCAGAUUUCACAUUAAUUUACACAAAUUCUAGUAAUAUUUGAAAAUCGUAACCACUUUCUAUGGUUAUUCCUUGAAAAUCUUAGCAUAUUAUGAAUAUUUUCUGGGGGAAUUUGAUGACCACCUUAUUUAUUUGGAAAGUGGAAAGAAUAGUAUAAUGUUUAGAAAAGAAAAACGAAAAGGAAAUUGGCUUUUAGGUUUUUUCCCCUUAUAUUCCUAGUACUUUCAUUCUGUAAUGUUAACUAUUAAUGUGUUUGAUGCUUAGCAAUUAACUUGUUGUAUUAAUUAUUCAUUCUAGAUUAGAUUUCUGUUUUUGUGCUGUUGAAUGAUUUUGGAUUUGAAAGUUAACUGAUUUUUUGACCGAUGAUAAAUUUUUGGAUGUUGGUGCUGGUGUUGCUGGAAUUUUUGGAUGUUGGUGCUGCUGGAAUUUUUGGAUGUUGGUGCUAGUGUUGCUGGAAUUUUUGGAUGUUGGUGUUGCUGGAAUUUCUGGAUGUUGGUGCUGGUGGUGCUGGAAUUUUUGGAUGCUGGUGUUGCUGGAAUUUUUCCUUCAAAGUUCAAAUUAUGCUGGAUGUUUAGGUUUUAAUUUAUUGUUGGUUGCUAAUGUAUUUGCUUGUAUUUUUCUAGUGCGAACAGACUUUUAAUUUGAGAUUUUAAAAUUUGAUCAUGCAUUUUACAUAUUGCAUUGAUUUAUCACUUUGAGAAGUAUAUUAAAAGUUUGCAUCUCUGUAGGAUUUUAAUUAUUGUCUUAAUUCAUGUCCAGAUUUUCAUUUAUAUUGAAAGUUAGUAAAUUCAUAUUAAAACUUAGCCAUGUGAAUUAGCUUAACAUUUAUUUUAAAAGCUGAAAUCGUAAGCCAAUUUUAAAGCUUAGCCAUGCUAAAUCUUCCCAAACCGUAAGCCAAUUUUAAAUCAAAAACCAAAAGAACCCAUGGGAUUAGGUUUCCCGGUUUUUUCCUUAAAAAACCAAAUUUAACCGAACCGGUUUUCGGUCCGGUUCGGUUCAUUUUUUGCAACAAUACUGUAAUUCGGUUCAGUUGGUUUUUUGAGUUUAAACCGAACCGAACCGAACCGUGAACACCCCUAGUUUCAAUCCUCUGAUCAUGCCUUCCCAGCCUAAAAUAUAGUUUAAGGCUUUCCCAUAUGGUGUUAAUCUUUUAAGAUUGAAAAUUUGAGAUUUGGGCAACAGGAAAAUGGAAGAUUAGGGAGUGGGGACUAUGUAUUGGAGUGUAAGGGGACUCGAACAAGAAGGUGGUAAAUUUUUUAACUUUUACAGGUUAAAACUCAAAAUCGGUCAAACUCGUAAAAUCGGUCUGAUUUUACCGAUUUUAACCGAGUUUGACCGAUUUUGACCGAUUUCGAGUUUUAAUCUGAUUUGACACGCUAUAUACAUGUUGACUCGUAAAAUCGUAAGAUUUUAAGAGGUAACUCGCAAUUUUAACAACCUUGAUGACAAUUAUUUAUUUAUUAGAUUUGUUUUUGUGUGUUAUGUUGUGGGAUACGUGAAAAAAUUAUUUAAACCCGGGUUAACUUGAUUAACCCACGAUCCAAGGUAACUCUAGAGGAAACAUAGAAAAAAAAAGAAGGAAAGCUAGCCUAAAGUCAAAAAAUAAAAUAUAUUAAAAAAAAUAUUAGAUUGGGCUAAUAUUUGAAACUAGUAAUUUUAGUCAUGAGAUUGAGAUAAUCAUAUAAAAGAUUAAAAAAAAAAAAGUUUUAGCAAAAUUUGUAACCAUCAAAAAAUUAAAAAGAAACAAAUGAUAAUCAAAACAAUGAGGACCAAGUCUAGUAUAAGAACUCAUGAAGAACUUAAUAAAAAACUAAUAAGAAAAAGCAAUUAAAAGAAUGAUAUCCAAAAUUAUAUAAAAAAAUAAAAUAAAAUACGAGAGACAAAAUUGAAAGAAGAAAAAAAAUUAUGAAAAGGAUAUAAAUGAGCAAUUAAAAAAAUCAGAACUAAAUCUAAAAAAAGAAAUGAAAUAAAAAACCCAAGAAAAUUAUAAAAAAAAAAAUCAAGAAAAUAUGUACCAUAUUUAAUAUAAUAACAAACAAAAUCAAAUGAAAAAUGAUGAAAUUAAAAAACAAAAUAUAAAAACAAUAAUAAAAAGAGACCAAUAAAAAGAAAGAGAAUCAUAAUUGAAUUUUUUUUUAUCAAAAUAAUACAAUUUUUACUUUUUAUCUAAAUAAAAAAUCAAGUUAUUAAUUAGUAGAAAAUUAUGUCAUCACCCCUUGAUUUUUUAUUUUGCCAUUUUUUUUUAUCAAAAUAAUGUUAUUUGUACUUCCUACACAAUUAAAAAAAUAUAUGAAUGGCCCCGGUAACCCCGGUUAUUCGACCCAACCAUGAAAUGGGACAUGAUAGGAGUUGACUCUGAAGCCGGAUUUUAAAAACAUGAUAAAAAAAAUGUAUCAAAUAUAAUAUAAAAAUUCAAUGAAAUUAAACAAUGAGAAAUGAAAUUGCCGCAAAACAAUUAAACAAGAAAAGAACUUAGAAUAAAAGGAAUUGAAAUAAUAAGAAUUAGGAUCAAAUUAAAAAAAAAGAAUUAAAAUCAAAUGAUUACGAAUUAAAUUGAAAAAUAAAAUCCAAUCAAAAAAAUAUUAAAAGAAAAAUAAAUAGGAAUUAUCCAAUUACCAGUUUGUCGAAGAACAAGCAGCACAUGAGUCAACAAUGGAAAGAUAUCAGCAUUCACCAAGAACGUAAGACCGACCUCCACACCGCGACAUUACAAGUGAUUUUAAUGAUAGUAACAGAAAGUGCUUGGCUAUUACGAAAUUUACAAUAACAAACACUAGUUAGUCAUCAAAUAAAAUAUGAGUGACGAACUAUGUGAGAAUUCCAGAAUUUGGGUUUGACAAAACAAAAAAAAAAAACAGAGAAAGCAUCGAGAGUAAAGCUAUAGUACCUUUCUCCGUUCCAAGGAGGGACGAGCAUCGAAUGGAGUUUUUUUAAGAAAGUUGAAUUGCAUACUGUCACAGGGCUCCUGCAAUGGAGAGGAUCGAAGGAGCUCAGGGGAGAAAUAAUUCAAAUAGGUGACCAUUGGGUGCUAGGCUACAGUUUAUUUAAGUAGUGUAGGAGAGCCGGUGAUUAAAAAUGUGAUUGAAAUUAAAGUUGAAUAAAAAUUAAUUUAAUAUUUUUGGUUAAAUAUAUUUUUUAAAUUAAAGUUAUAAAAUAAUUAAAAUAUAUAUAUAUAUAUAUAUUAAUAUCAAUGAUUUUUAAUUUAAAUAAUGUAGAUUUUAUCUACUACUAUUAUAUCAUUAAUUAAAUAAAUAAUCUUUUUAUAUUAAGUAUUUUUUAUUGUUCCAUUAACUUAUCAACAAUUUCAUCACAUAUGAAAUUCAUCCGAUAAAAAUUAUAGUUUUUAUGGUUUUUUUAGCAUGCAAUAAAAUCAGGUAAAAUAUCAUCAGAAUAAAAUUAGAAUUGCGAUCAAAUUCUGUAAAUUCUACGUCAUAAUGCGAUCUCCUUCUAAUUUAUGUAGUGUUAUUGAAUAAUAUUAAACACUAAUUUUUCGAGUAGAACAAAAUUAAAAAAAUACUUUUUUUUUACUAGGUUGGACACGGACCAAUGAACAUUAGAGACAUUGUUCACAUGAACAAUAUAGAGUAAAUUAAUUCACGCUACACAGACGCGAUACGAAGAGAGAAGCAUAUCAAUGUUGCUUUCGGCUAACUCGUGUUUGAAACGUAAAUUGUUGUGGGUCCCACACAUAGUAAAUAAUGUUUGUCAUUUUACCAAGUGUUUUGUUUCCAUGAUUUGCUUCAAAUACAGAAGCAACCACGGAAACAAACAUACUCUUAAAAAGAUAGGUGGUCUGCGGUACAUUUAUAAAUAAUAUGAUAAUUAUUGUAAAGGCAGUUAAAAAUUAAAUUUGUGAUUAUUUUAAUAUUCAAAUUAGAUUUUAUAGCCUAUUAAAUUUAAGUAAAUUGGGCCUGAUGAUAAUAAUAAACAAGUUAUUUAGAUUUGAAACCCCUACCAGACCCAAGUAAUUUGGAUCUAGCUAGUGCUUCUGAAGGACCCAAGUUAUAUGGGUUUGCCUUCACUACGAACCAAAUUACUUGAAUUUGAUAUCUUUAUUAUACCUAAAUUUCUAGGGUCUAGCACCCCUAAUCGUAAUAAAAAUAAUAUUAUUAAUGUUAAAAUUAUCUUAACUAAGUUUAUAUAGUUUUUAAUUCUUUCAAAUUAAAUUUAUGAUUUUUCUUCAACAACAAUAAUAAUUAAUUUUACCCUUCAAAUCAAAUCUAUGGUUUUUUUUCAAUAGUAAUAAUAUUUUUUUAAAAAAUUUAUUAAUAAUAAUAUUUAAAAUAUUAUUAUUAAUAAUAAAUAUGCCUGAUCCAAGUUCUUAUAAUUUUUUAUUUUACCCUUCAAAUCAAAUAUAUGGUUUUUCUUUAAUAGUAAUAAUAUUUUUUUUUUUACUAAUAUUAUUAUUAAUAAUAAUGAUGAUAAGAAUAAUACCAAUAAUAAUAAUAACAACAACAACAAUAAAAAUAAUUUUUAAUUUUAUCCUUUAAAAUAAAUGGUUUUUUCUCAAUAAUAAUAAUAUUUGUUUUUUAAAUUUAUUUAUAAUUAUAUUAAUAAUACUAAUAAUCAUGAAAAUAAUAAUAAUAAUAAUAAUAAUAAUAAAUAUAUUUGAUCCAAGUUUGAAAGAGUUUGCUUGCUCGGGAGAAGAGGGAAAUAGAAUAUUGAAAGGGAAAUUUGGGUUUCAAAACUUAAGGCUAAAAAGAAGAGGAGGAAUUUGAAGGUGUUUGACAGUGUUAGUAUGGCUGCUUUUUAAAAAAUAUAUACAUUAGAAAAUAUAUAAAAAAAUAAAUAAAAAUUUAUUUUUUUCUAAAACGUAAAAAAUAACGGGCUAAGGGGAAGGUAAAGGUAAAUGAAAUUGGUCUUUGGAGAGAACGAAAAUGUACUGGAGAAGGGAAGAAAGUGACAGUAAAGAAAACCAGGCAAGGCAGAGGAAAAAACUAAAGUUUUUUUUUUUUAGUUAACGAAAGAAGGAAAGUUAACUUCUUAUAAUAUAAAUGCACAUACUAGAUUUGCCAACAUUCUUUGAAUAUGUUUUUAUUUUAGAAAUCUUGUUUUUAUGGUAUAUUUCAGAGAAUAUAAAUGAAAAAUAUUUUAAUUUAUAUAAAUAGUACGAUGUAAAAUUUAAUUAAAAAAAAAGGAAGCCAAGAGUUCAAAUAUCAAGAGAAUCCAGCUAAGUGUUUUUUUUUAUUAUUAUUAUUGUUUUUUUAUUUUUUAUUAAGAGUAUGAUUAAGAUUAUAAUAGCAAUUACGGUUAAAGUGAUUUUUAUUUAAAAAUAUAUUAAAAUAAUUUUUUUUAUUGUUUAAAAAUUAUAUUCAAUAUCAACACAUUCAAACGAUAUAAAAAUAUAAAAAAAUAUAUUAAUUUUAAGCAAAAACAAUUCUAAAAUUUAAAUACGAUGACUAAAUAGUAAAAUCAUAUAAAUAAUAUAGAUGAUAGUGGUUAUAAUAAUAAUAAUAAUAAUUUUAUGAUUAUUGUUUGAUAGCCCUGAUAUUUUUUCCUUUGUUUUAAUCUUUUGUUUGCUACUUUUACUGUGUAUCCAUGAUUUAGUAUCAUGUGAGUUAAUAAAAAUUCCAAAUUAAUCCAUUCAUCAAGCUCUUAAGAACCCAAUUUCAACAAUAAAACUCAUUUUAAUUAAUAAAAAAGAAAAGAAGAAUAGAAAUUCCAAAUUAAAUUUAAAAAAUCAAUUAUAUUUGAAGGUUAAAUUUAUUCUCUCUCUCUGUUUUUAUUUUUUAUUUUUAACAAUUUCAAGAUUUGGAAUCACCAUCAAUAAAUGCCUCUUACCAUGAUAAAGCUAUUUGACACCAAAAUUAACAAUUGUUGGGCUAGUAAGUGUGAAAUACAGAAGCUUUUGGCAUCUCAAUGCACAGGACAGUUCCCCUGCACGUCAUUGCAAAACCACACUUCGAUUGACGCAAGAAGUGUCAGGAUUUUAUUAGUCUGUCUACUAGAAUCUGUAAUUUUCUUUCCGAAUAAAAGUUACUACUUGUGGUUUGCUUGUAAAAAGAAGGCAGAACUUGGGCGCGACUUAACUCCUGCCUUAGUCCUUGCUGCUGGAACUUGGACACAGAAUCAGUUAUAAGUUGUGUCACCUUUGAGCUUCAAUCAAUCAUAAUACUGCAAGGACAAAAUGUUUGUCUCUGAGAACUGCUCAUUUCCUCUUGUCAGAUAAAUAAAUAAGAAAGAAAAACCAUUUUCCUUCAUCAAAUGCAUUCUUUGGCUCAACAAAUGGGAUAAAGACAAAGGGGUUCGUACCAAAUGGAUGUCUACGAUGCAGCAAGUAGAUGCCUGAUCUGCUUUGCCUUGUAACCAGAUAGACUUGACAUUUCAAAAACGAAAGGAAGCACCAUCCAUGACAUUGAGCACUGUUUUUGGAUAUUGAUUAUAGAGACACAUAAUUCAGAGCAUAUACAUCAUCUUACAAGGAAGAAACCCAUGCCUACAUACAACAGGAUUGAACAUUAAAGACAUGAUAUGGAGGUAUGUGCUUGGGCAUUCUAAACUACUCUUGGUUUAAAAAUUGGGAUACCAUUCAAUCUCAUAUGUCACUAAGAACGCAAUUUUUUUUUAUUGUUUCAUUAACUUAUCUAUAAUUUCAUCAUGUAUAAAAUUCAUCCAAUAAAGACUAUAAUUUUCAUGGUUUUUUUUAGCGUGCAACAAAAUUAGGUAAAAUAUCGUCAGAAAUAAAAUUGGAAUUGUGAUCAAAUUUUGCAAAUGCUACAUCAUCAUGCAAUCUCCUUCUAAUUUACGUAGUGUUAUUAAAUAAUAUUAAACACUAAUUUUUCGAGUAAAACACAAUUAAAAAAAUAGAUUUUUUUACUAGGUCGAAUGCAGACUAAUGAACACUAGAGACACUGUUCACGUGAACAGAGUGAAUUAAUUCACUAUGCACAAACACGACAAGAAGGGAGAAGCAAGUUGAUGUUGCUUUCGACUAGGCCGUGUUUGAAACGUAAAUUAUUGUGGGUCCCACACACACUAAAUAACAUUUGCCAUUUUACCAAACAUUUUGUUUCUAUGGUUUGCUUCAAACGCAAAAGCAACUAUAGAAACAAACAUGCUCUUAACAAGAUAGGUGGCCUGCGGUACAUUUAUAAAUAAUACAAUAAUUAUUGUAAUGGCAGUUAAAAAUUAAAUUUGUGAUUAUUUUAAUAUUCAAAUUAAAUUUGAUAGUCAAUUAGAUUUGAGUCAAUUGGACCUGAUGAUAAUAAUAUACCGAAUUUAUUUAGAUUUGGAGCCUCUAACAAACCCAAAUUAUAUGGGUUUGCCUUCACUACGGACCCAAAUUACUUGAGUUUGAUAUAUUUGUCAUACCUAAAUUUCUAGGGUCUGGCGCCCCUAAUAAUAAUAAUACUAAUAAUAUUAAUAAUGAUAUUAAAAUUAUCUUAACUAAAUUUAUAUAGUUUUUAAUUCUUUCAAAUUAAAUUUAUGAUUUUUCUUCAACAACAACAAUAUAUUUUUAAAAAAUUUUAUUAUUAAUAACAACAAUAAUAUAUUUUUUAAAAAAUUUAUUAUUAAUAAUAACAAUAAUAAUUAAUUUUACCAUUCAAAUCAAAUCUAUGGUUUUUUCAAUAGUAAAAAUAUUUUUUUUUCAAAUUUAUUAAUAAUUAUAAUAAUAAUAUUUUAAAUAUUAAUAAUAAUAAUAAAAAAUAUGUCUGACCCAAGUUCUUAUAAUUUUUAAUUUUACCUUUUAAAUCAAAUAUAUGGUUUUUCUUUAAUAGUAAUAUUUUUUUUAAAAAAAAGUUACUAAUAUUAUUAUUAAUAAUAAUGAUGAUAAAAAUAAUACCAAUAACAACAACAACGACGACAACAAUAAAAAUAAUUUUUAAUUUUAUCAUUUAAAUGAAAUAUAUGGUUUUUUCUUAAUAGUAAUAAUAUUUAUUUUUUUAAAUUUUUUUAAUAAUUAUAUUAAAAAUACUAGUAAUCAUGAAAAUAAUAAUAUUUAUAAUACUAAUAUUAAACAUAUCCAAUCUAAGUUUGAAAGAGUUUGCUUGCUCUGGAGAAGAGGGAAAUGGAAUAUUGAAAGGGAAAUUUGGGUUUCAAAACUGGAGGCUAAAAAAAAAGAGGAGGAAUUGGAGGUCUUUGGGGUAAUUGUGAUUGCUUUUAAAAGUAUUUUUUAUUAGAAAAUUUAUUAAAAUGAUAUAUUUUUUUAUUUUUAAAAUUUUGUUUUAUAACAGUGCAUCAAAAUAAUUUAAAAAUAUAAAAUAAAAUAAAAUUUAAAUUUUUUUUAAAACAUAAAAACUAACUGGGUUAAGGGGAAGGCGAAGGUAAAGGAAAUUGGUGUUUGGAGAGAACGAAAAUGUACUGGGGAAGGGAUGAAAGUGACAGUAAAGAAAACCAGGCAAGGCAGAGGAAAAAACUAAACUAUGUUUUUUUUUCAAGUUAACGAAAGAAGGAAAGUUAACUUCUUAUAAUAUAAAUGCACAUACUAGAUUUGCCAACAUUCUUUGAAUAUGUUUUUAUGUUAGAAAUCUUGUUUUUAUUGUAUAUUUCAGAGAAUAUAAAUGAAAAAUAUUUUCAUUUAUAUAAAUAGCAUGAUGUAAAAUUUAAUUAAAAAAAAAAGGAAGGAGUUCAAAUAUCAAGAGAAUCGAGGUGAGUUUUUUUAUAUUAAGGGUAUGCUUAAGAUUAUGACAAUGAUUAUGGUUAAAGUGAUUUUUAUUUAAAAUAUAUAUUAAAAUAAAGUUUUUUAAUUGUUUAAAAAUUAUAUUUAACAUCAAUAUAUUAAAACGAUAUGAAAAUAUAAAAAAUAUUAAUUUUAAGUAAAAACAAUUCUAAAAUUUAAAUAUAAUGACUAAACAGUAAAAUCAUAUAAAUAAUAUAGAUGAUAGUGGUUAUAAUAAUAAUUUUAUUAUUAUUGUUUGAUAGCCCUGAUAUUUUUUUCCUUUGUUUUAAUCUUUUGUUUGCUACUUUUACUGUGUAUCCAUGAUUUAGUAUCGUGUGAGUAUUUUUUUAUUACUGAAAUUUGAAAUAAUAUUAAUUGUUUUAAUUCUAUAAUGAUUAAAAAUGUAAUUUUUAGUUUUUUAUUCAAUUUUUAUUAUUUUUCUAUAAAAAAUAUUUUAAAUAAUAUAAAUUAUUUAUAAGAUUUGAAAAUAAAAAUUAAUUUUAGAGAAUAUAAAAAAAAGAAAAUAAAAUUAAUAAGAUCAAACAAAUAAAUAAGGACUUAGCUGCACCAAGGCCUAGCGCCAAAGCGUAGAAGCUCAGCGCGACUAGACAAACAAACAUUAAUAAAGAAUCAAUUUUUGUUCUCAAAACUCAAUUCUUUCAUCAUUUUACCCACAAAUACUUCAAUCAUUCAUCAAGCUUUUAAGAACCCAAUUUCAACUAUAAAACUCAUUUUAAUUAAUAAAAAGAAAAGAAAAAUAAAAACUCCAAAUUAAAUUAAAAAAAUCAAUUAUAUUUCAAGGUUCAAUCUCUUCUCUCUCUCUUACUUUUUAAACAAUUUCAAGAUUAGGAAUUACCAUCAAUAAAUGCCUCUUACCAUGAUAAAGCUAUUUGACACCAAAAUCAGCAAAUGUUGGGCUAGUAAGGUGCUAGCAAAGUUCAAAAUGUAAUUGAUGAAAACGACCCACAUGCAAUUUUUAAGUAAUACGAGAAUGCAAUCAUUUAAAAAAAAAUACAUAGAGAAGAGAUAAUUCAGGUGAACAAGAUAAGAAAAUCUUGUUUAUUUUUAUUACUAAUUGAUGAGUAAAAUGUUUUAUACAUGACAAACGACAAUUAGCUUUAUAAAGGAUUUGCCAUGAAGCUGGGUUUAGAAGGAGGUUUAAUAGCUCAUUUGUUUUUAUAUAUUAAAAUAAUUUUUAAAAUAAAUUGAUGUGAUUUUUUUUUUUGUGUUUUUAAAUCGUUUUGAUGUGCUGAUGUUAAAAAUAAUUUUUUAAAAAUAAAAAAAUUAUUUUAAUACAUUAAAAAAAUAUUUUAAAAAACAAUUAUUAUCACAUUUUCAAGUACCAUCUAAAUACAAAGUUUUCAUAAGAGUUUGUUGCAUCAUCAAUUUUGAUUGUGGAUGAAUGAACCUAUGUCUUUCUUGAAUAAACCUUAUCAAUGGCUAUGAUGCUAGAGCAGACAGAGUUGGACUUGGAAAAAAUUUUACCAUGAAGUUAGGUUUGGAAAGAAUUACCAUGAAAUCGACGCUAAAGUAAAUCUAUUCAGAGAGUUUACCAGGCAAAACAUUCAUUGAUGUCGUGAGGAUUUGGUGAUAGAUGUGUUUGGAGAUACAGUUAAGAGUUCUCUGAACCUGUAACAUUGCGAUAUAAUGAAAUUUAUUUAUUUAUUUAUUAACAUGAAUAUUCGGGUUAGUUUAUAUUUAUCUCAACUAAUUUUAUGGGUCCUAAAGUUAACGACUAUGUAAACUUCUAAUGAUUCUGAUGGGAUUUGAACUCGUAACCAUUUAUGAGCAAAUUAAAAACCUAACUAGUUGAGUAAAAAUUUUAAUAGCCUUAAAGGAACUCGAACUCAUGACUCUUUAGAAAUAAACCCAAAAUCUAACUAGUUAGACUACUCUUCAAGAUUACAUUUUUUCCCUAUAGACGUAGGGAUAAUCAAGAUGUGAAACUAUUUAUUUGUGUGUGAUUGUUUUUUAAGUUUUUAAGAUGUCAUUCUCUUUUUCAGAUUGUGUGAUCUAGGAUUAAUUAGUGACAAAGCUUCAUAUUUGUCAUUUGUGGUUGAUUUGCACUAAUCAUGAUAUAAGUCUUUGAUGACUUUUUUUACUUGUAUAAAUAUACAAAUGAGGAAUAAUUAAUCUAAAAGAAUCAUCAACUUCUCACUUAUUUUUUUUUAUUGCAUUUUUUUAGAACAGUGUUGAUGACCAUUUUUACUUGUACAAGUGUGAAAUAAUUAAUCCACAAAACUUGUAAAUUUUUUAUCCACAAAAUACUAGAUGCUUGUGUGUUGGAGUGUGGUUGCAGUUGUCUUUUAAAGUGUUUUUUACUUAGAAAUAUAUUAAAAUAAUUUUUGAUAUCAGCAUAUAAAAAUAAUCUAAAAAUACCAAAAAAAUAUUAAUUUGAAGUAAAGAAAAAAAAUAAAAAAAUUUUAAUUUUUUUUAGAAACGCUUUUAAAACGCAAAAAAAAACAGGGCCUUAAAAAUAUACAUUGUCACUAUUUUAUGUGUAUGCAUAUGCGUGUAAAAAAUGUUUUCAACACAGUAAAAAUUGCAUUGGUGAAGUUUUUUUUCUCGUCAAUUUUGCUUUAAACUCUCCAGGUAGUUAAGUUGAUGAAAUCUUUUUGAUGAAUUAAUGAUAAUAUUUACUUAUUGCCAUACAUUUUGUGGGUGUUUAUAUACCAUGAUUUUUUUAAUUGUGAAAUUGUGAUUGUUGGGGAAUCCGACCGGUAAUAUAUUGAUAGUUGCCUGUUGGAGGCUAAACACAUUGACACAAUAUUUAACGUGAUUUGACAAACCGCCUACAUCCACAGGAAAAGAACCAAUAUUAUUUGAGAUAUAGAGAAAGGGUUACAACAUAUAUGGAGGAGGAGUAUCACUUAACUCAAACUCAACUCCUAUUGCUCUCACACACUGCUAUACAUGACAACCACUUCUCUUUCUCUCUUCCUCUCUUUUCUUCACAUCUUUUGCUCUACCUUCUCUCUCAUUUUGCUCUCAAAUAAUGCUUUUAUUUAUAGGAAUUAAUGGUAAGGUAAGAGGCCAUAAAUUUUGGCACAAAUGGUGGCACUACAUGAGUUGUACUAUUUUUAUCAAUGGUUGAUGCCAGAGGCGGAACCAAGGGGUGGCAAGCAGGGUUGUACACAUUUCCCGUGCCACUGCAACGUCCACCAAAAGAAAAAGUUAAGUGUUCACAAGGGGAUGAAUAAAGCCUUAAGAAGAGUGGCAAUGCAACUCUCCUUGACGCCAUUGUUGAGCGUUCCAAGAAUAUUUCUCCAUGAAAUUAUGACCUUUCCUGAAAGCUUUAUAUUAUUUUAUUAUAUAUUAAGAACGUGUUUAGUAGUGUGGUAAUGAUUACUUUUCAAAUAAUUUUUCGUGUCGAAAUGCAUGUCAAUGAUGUUUUUUAAUUUUUUAAAAAUUAUUUUUGACAUCAACUCAUCAAAAUGAUUCAUAAAGUACAAACCGUAUUAAAUUUUAAUAAAUUUUUUUUUUUUUUUUUUGAAAAAUAUAAUUUUAACCACGUUUUCAAGUGAGAAAUGAGUCAAUGAGAUAUUGAUUAAGUGAGAAAUGAGUGAUGUUCAGUUUUUUGGAAGUCAUUAUUCUCCACCUUAUAAUAUUUCUAGAGACGGGGAAAAAACCAAGAAGAAAGGUUGUAAAAUAUUCCAACGACAUGUCAUUUUCCUUGGAAUAAUCACCUUAAGAUGAUUGUACCAUGAGUGACAUGCAACAUUCCCAGAGGCUGUGAAUCGCCGCCAGUUGUUCUCUGAUUUUAACACUGACGUGCAUGUACUGGAAUCCGAAGCUAUCAGACAAAUUUCUACCUUCAAUUUCCAUCACCAUUUAUAUAGACUUUUUGAAGCUCUCAAUGAGUGGAUAUUACGUUUAUAGUCUGUUUCUUGCAUUAUCACAAGUGAGCAUCUAAUGCGCAUCAAAUUCUAUCUCACCGUAUGAAAACGGGGUGAUAUUUUAUGUAUCAGAAAAUGAAAAUUGGUUCCCAAACACCCCAUAAAAACUGCAGAGGCUGUUUAUAUAUAUAUAUAUAUAUACACUAUUAACCCAUUACCGAAGUUAUAGUUCUUAUGGAGUUUAAUAACUUUAUUUCAAUGUUUUUUAAUAAAAAAAUUAGUGCAAUAUUAUUUUAAUUUUUUAAAAGAAAAAAAUCAAAGCUCUCCUAUACAUGGUUUACUUUGAAAGCUAGCUUGAUUUAAAGGCCAGGUCGAUAGAUCCUAUGUUUACCCGCUAAUUUUUAGUAAGUUCAAUAAUAUUAGUUAAAAAUUUCUGGUGGUAGUAGCCUCAGCUGACUAGUCUAUCUUGAUAUAUUGAUAUUAAAAAUUAUUUUUAAAAAUAAAAAUAAUUUAUUUUAAUAUAUAUAUUUUAAAAAAUAAUUAGUAUAUAAAAAAGCAGGUAGUCCGUACACUCCACCAGGAUAAGGAUUUGUUUCUUGCAAAAACUAGUACCUAAAUUUCAGUCGUAUCACUUCCUAUGAAGGGGUUUGUCUCUGUUUAGCUUGUGGUAUCAACACUAACCCACUUAAACCACUUGAAUUGUCAAGGGAAAAGAUCCAUCAAUGGCUUUACUACAAUGGCUGAAAGAAUGCUCCAAACCUGCCUUGUUCGUUGUAACUAUUUUUCUAGUAGUAGUGCUCAAGUUUCUCAUGAAGGAGAAGCUGAAAAAGAGGAAGCUCAAUCUCCCACCAAGCCCUGCAAAAUUGCCAAUCAUUGGUAACCUUCACCAGCUUGGUAAUAUGCCU